rnacentral:rRNA from 1 species
GGGUUGUGAGGUUAAGCGACUAAGCGUACACGGUGGAUGCCCUGGCAGUCAGAGGCGAUGAAGGGCGUGCUAAUCUGCGAUAAGCGCCGGUAAGGUGAUAUGAACCGUUAUAACCGGCGAUACCCGAAUGGGGAAACCCAGUGUGAUUCGUCACACUAUCAUUAACUGAAUCCAUAGGUUAAUGAGGCGAACCGGGGGAACUGAAACAUCUAAGUACCCCGAGGAAAAGAAAUCAACCGAGAUUCCCCCAGUAGCGGCGAGCGAACGGGGAGGAGCCCAGAGCCUGAAUCAGCAUGUGUGUUAGUGGAAGCGUCUGGAAAGGCGCGCGAUACAGGGUGACAGCCCCGUACACAAAAGCGCAUGUGCUGUGAGCUCGAUGAGUAGGGCGGGACACGUGGUAUCCUGUCUGAAUAUGGGGGGACCAUCCUCCAAGGCUAAAUACUCCUGACUGACCGAUAGUGAACCAGUACCGUGAGGGAAAGGCGAAAAGAACCCCGGCGAGGGGAGUGAAAAAGAACCUGAAACCGUGUACGUACAAGCAGUGGGAGCCCCACCACCAAAGCAUUUGCUGUACCGCGUUGACGGAGCGAAGCGACGUCAAACCGAUAAAACAGCAGUGUAAAGUGAGCCGCAGGGCGCUUUGCGCGACAGCGCAAAGGCAGGCGGUUUCGCGUAGCGAAAGCGAAUGCUUUGGGGUGGGGUGACUGCGUACCUUUUGUAUAAUGGGUCAGCGACUUAUAUUCUGUAGCAAGGUUAACCGAAUAGGGGAGCCGGAGGGAAACCGAGUCUUAAUUGGGCGUUAAGUUGCAGGGUAUAGACCCGAAACCCGGUGAUCUAGCCAUGGGCAGGUUGAAGGGUGGGUAACACUAACUGGAGGACCGAACCGACUAAUGUUGAAAAAUUAGCGGAUGACCUGUGGCUGGGGGUGAAAGGCCAAUCAAACCGGGAGAUAGCUGGUUCUCCCCGAAAGCUAUUUAGGUAGCGCCUCGUGAAUUCAUCUCCGGGGGUAGAGCACUGUUUCGGCUAGGGGGCCAUCCCGGCUUACCAACCCGAUGCAAACUGCGAAUACCGGAGAAUGUUAUCACGGGAGACACACGGCGGGUGCUAACGUCCGUCGUGAAGAGGGAAACAACCCAGACCGCCAGCUAAGGUCCCAAAGUCAUGGUUAAGUGGGAAACGAUGUGGGAAGGCCCAGACAGCCAGGAUGUUGGCUUAGAAGCAGCCAUCAUUUAAAGAAAGCGUAAUAGCUCACUGGUCGAGUCGGCCUGCGCGGAAGAUGUAACGGGGCUAAACCAUGCACCGAAGCUGCGGCAGCGACACUGUGUGUUGUUGGGUAGGGGAGCGUUCUGUAAGCCUGUGAAGGUGUGUCGUGAGGC